CCUACGGGAGGCAGCAGUGAGGGAUAUUGCGCAAUGGGCGGAAGCCUGACGCAGCAACGCCGCGUGAGGGAAGAAGGCCUUCGGGUCGUAAACCUCUUUUUGGGGGGACGAGAGAGGACGGUACCCUCGGAAUAAGUCUCGGCUAACUACGUGCCAGCAGCCGCGGUAAAACGUAGGAGGCAAGCGUUAUCCGGAGUUACUGGGCGUAAAGGGCGUUUAGGCGGGGCCCUAAGUCUGGCGUGAAAUCUCCCGGCUCAACUGGGAGGGGGCGCUGGAGACUGGGUUUCUUGAGGGCAGGAGAGGGGGGUGAAAUUCCGGGUGUAGCGGUGGAAUGCGUAGAGAUCGGGAGGAACAUCAGUGGCGAAGGCGGCCCCCUGGUCUGCACCUGACGCUGAAGCGCGAAAGCGUGGGGAGCAAACGGGAUUAGAUACCCUUGUAGU
rnacentral:rRNA from 1 species